AGAACGAACGCUGGCGGCAUGCCUAACACAUGCAAGUCGAACGAGACCUUCGGGUCUAGUGGCGCACGGGUGCGUAACGCGUGGGAAUCUGCCCUUGGGUACGGAAUAACAGUUAGAAAUGACUGCUAAUACCGUAUAAUGACCUCGGUCCAAAGAUUUAUCGCCCAGGGAUGAGCCCGCGUCGGAUUAGCUAGUUGGUAGGGUAAAAGCCUACCAAGGCGACGAUCCGUAGCUGGUCUGAGAGGAUGAUCAGCCACACUGGGACUGAGACACGGCCCAGACUCCUACGGGAGGCAGCAGUGGGGAAUAUUGGACAAUGGGCGAAAGCCUGAUCCAGCAAUGCCGCGUGAGUGAUGAAGGCCUUAGGGUUGUAAAGCGUCUUUUACCCGGGAUGAUAAUGACAGUACCGGGAGAAUAAGCCCCGGCUAACUCCGUGCCAGCAGCCGC
rnacentral:rRNA from 1 species